GAUGAACGCUGGCGGCGUGCCUAAUACAUGCAAGUCGAGCGAACAGACGAGGAGCUUGCUCCUCUGACGUUAGCGGCGGACGGGUGAGUAACACGUGGAUAACCUACCUAUAAGACUGGGAUAACUUCGGGAAACCGGAGCUAAUACCGGAUAAUAUAUUGAACCGCAUGGUUCAAUAGUGAAAGACGGUUUUGCUGUCACUUCUAGAUGGAUCCGCGCCGCAUUAGCUAGUUGGUAAGGUAACGGCUUACCAAGGCAACGAUGCGUAGCCGACCUGAGAGGGGGAUCGGCCACCCUGGAACUGAGACACGGUCCAGACUCCUACGGGAGGCAGCAGUAGGGAAUCUUCCGCAAUGGGCGAAAGCCUGACGGAGCAACGCCGCGUGAGUGAUGAAGGUCUUCGGAUCGUAAAACUCUGUUAUUAGGGAAGAACAAAUGUGUAAGUAACUAUGCACGUCUUGACGGUACCUAAUCAGAAAGCCACGGCUAACUACGUG
rnacentral:rRNA from 1 species